GUUCACGCAGUACAUAUAAUAAAAUUGGAACGAUACAGAGAAGAUUAGCAUGGGCCUCGCGCAGAGAUGACACGCAGAAUCGGGAUACUCAAAUUUAAUUA